rnacentral:lncRNA from 1 species
AAAAUUUCGUGGCUCACCUGAGGGUUUCCAAUGUCAUUGGCAUUGAACUGCAGAUAUGGGGAAUUACGAUACGUAUAGGUAGCGAGAAACUUGUCAUUGUUCUUAAAGGAGAGGUAUUUAGGGAGUCGGAUGAUGUUUUCAAAGUCGACUAGCACAACUAAUUUGUCGUCGUGUCGUUUUUCAUCGCGUCUAUAUCUAGUUGUGAGAACAUCAGGAUGAAUUCUGCUACUGGUACAUCGACGUGCAUAGGUUUGAAGCAAGACAUCAAAUAAAUAGUAAGUCCCUGUAGUAGGACCAGGGAUGAAAUUAAACAAUGUGCAUGGCCAUGAGGAUUCAUUUUCACUCGGCUUGCUAACGAAGGGAGUAACGAAGCGAUUGUGGUCGUUGGAAGAGGCCAAGUACUUGUCGUUGUAGCAACAUUUUAUGUGCCAAUAUUUACCAUCCUUGUCGGGCACAAUCUCAAACUUUGUAAAUGGGGUCAAAGCUUGAUCGGAAGAGUAUUGUAGGUUACCCCUAAGAAAACCAUCAGAAAGGUAUUGAAGGUACUUUCCUUCUACGUGGUUCUGGAAUCCUGCAUAUUUGGGGAGAAACGACAUUGUUAACGGAGAGAGAUGGUAAAUAUGAGUUUUCUUCUUCUCAAUUACACACUUCUCAAGGUGGUGAGGAACUGAUGCCCAGUCCCCAAACCUCUUCUCUUUAUAUACAUAUAUGGAUAACUAAUAUUAAUUAUUAUAUUUUGCAUGAAUGGGACGAUACAUCGCUUAUAUGGAUAAAUCAGAAUAUAUACUUACUUCACUUUUUUGUUUGUUGACUAGAUAAUCUCAACUUUUUACUUUGUGUCAUUCAUAAAUAUCUCUAAAGUACCGUAAAAAAGUUCAAAAAAAUAAUCUUGCUGCUUUUUAGUGUGUCCAAAAGUUUUCGAUUUUUUUAGUUGUAGUAUUUCUUCUAUACCGCUUAGUUUUUUAGUUGUAGUAUUACUUCUAUACCGCUUAGUUACUUACGUGUGUUUUUAUAAUCUGUGCAUAACUUUUCGAGUUUCUUUCUAGCAUGUUUUGUACUUUUCCAUUGAUUAUUGAUAUCGUAUUUGGUCUUAAGAUGGAAUGAAGGGUGUUAUAGAGAUGUUAACCGAGUUGAAAUAUCUUGGUAUAUUCCAUGAUCCCUCUCUCUAGUUGGAUACUAAGUGCAUUGUAGUACAAUUUAAAAAGAUAACUUAAAUAUAAAUGGUUAAUAAAAUAACUCGUGAAAUUAAAAAAAAAUCAUUAAAAAAAUGAGUUAUUUAUAAAAGAAAAUUAAAAAGAAUCUUUUGAAUAAAAUAAUAACAAGAUUUGAAAUCAAAAUAUUUGUGUACUAUUAUAUGUUAAAUAUAUUAUCACAUAUUAAAUAAAAUAUAAUAUUUUAUGAUAGCAAAUUAAGUAUGAUUAAGUGUUUGUAUUUACAUCUAUGGAUAUAACUAUUAUUUUGGAAAGUUAGUGUAAUACGUAAUUAAGGGUGGAGGGAUAGUUUGAACCCACGGGGAUACACGUUCCUGUAUUAUUGUUAUUGUUAUUAAUUUAAAUAAGUCAAUCAACUAGCAAUGGAAUAAUUAAGAUCAAAAGGAAAUGAUGAAAGAAGGAUAAAGGCAUCCAUCAACUCAAUAAACUUAAAAGAAAUGCUCGUAUAAAAAGUUAAAGUCAUUAAACAGUGUGGAAUAUGAUUGAUUCGUAUAGAGUUGAUGGAUGCAAAGAUAUAGAGAACCAAUCAGCUUAUCUAUAGGUUUUGAUGGUUACACACUGCAAAAUUAAUUUUCACUAACCAAAAUGUUGCAAAUUUUUAAGUAUUAGAAAUAUAUUAUUAUAUACUUUUAAGUUUAUUCAUUUUGUAGUUGGAGAGAAUGGAAAAAAAAAAGUGAGUAGUCAAUAAAGUUUUGGGAGAUUUUUUUUUUAAUUACUGUGUUUUUGUUAGCUUUUUGUUUUCUAUUUUUUGUUUUUCUUUCAGUUAUUAUAUCGUUAAUUUUUUUUGAAAUAUACAAAAAAAAAAAAAAAACUAAAAUAUUUACAAAAUCAAAUUAAAAAGUCCAUGAACCCAACCGUAUAUUUCUUUUAUAAAAUAUUUCAUGUUUGUCUAGCCACUUUCAUUCUACUUUUCUAUCUUCUCUUCGGAUCUAUGUUUCCAAUCAAUCAUAAAUUUUGUAUUUUUUUUUCCAAAGUGUUAUUUGAUUCAAGAUCGUGUACCAAGGUACACAAUCUUGAACAAAAAUCUUUGAGAUAUUGGUACAUGAUAACUUAGAUUUAGCUACACGAUCGUGUAACAAAUCUAAAAGAUAUUGGUACAAGAUCGUGUGCCAAAUAUAAAAUAUAUUGAAAAAAAUCGUUCGAAUAUUGGUGUCGUCACGUGCACGAGACGACACAGAGAGACCGACAUCCUAACAAUGUGUUAGUUUUAAAACAAAAUAAAAAAAAAAAAAAGUUGCCACCAAUUUUUUUUACGAGGUGAUUGAACACCAAAAUAAAAUAAACAAAAUUUAAAUAAAAUCAUAAAAAAAUGGUUGACAAACAUUAGACUUGAGUUUGUGAGUCAAUUGUGCAUGAGGAAAGUGUCACACCCAAAACACCCAUUCAGAAAACGGUGGCAAAAUUGUAAAUAUUGAAUUGAAAAUAUUCUUUAAUUUCUUUUAAAAUUAAUAUCUUAUUUUACCCCCGACUACUCUCAUAUUUGAAGUAACGAUCUCAUAAAAUAAGUGGAAAGCAUUCCACCACACUAUAUUCAUGAAAAAAAAUUUCUCAUCCUCAAAAAUUAGUACAAUUUCUCAAAAUCUAUCCUAGGCAUUGUCUUCUAAUUAUAAAGUGAUUUUUUUCUAGGACAUUAAUUAAAAGUAAUUUUUCUUGGAUCAAAUCUCGAACUCCCAAAAAUUCCAAGAGUUUUAUGAUUUUGUUUAAGAAAAACGGUAUAAGUUAUUAUAAAAGAUUGAUUAGAAAAUUUUAUGAAAUCACAAAUUAAAUUUUGAAGGUUCGAACAACAUAAAAAAAAAAUGAUAACUUGAAAAGAUUUUUUUUUUUCUAAAAUCACUUUUAGAAAAAGAGUUUUGUGAAAGAUUUUUAAACCUAUAAAAAUUUAAAGUAGAAGGAUUUUAAAAUAUUGAAAAUUUUAAAUAGAAAGAUAUAUCAAUUUUGAAUGGAAAUGAAAAUGAGGCUUAAUAGAAAAAUUAGAUAAGUAAAAACAAAAGUAAAGAAACGUCAUAAUAAAUUAAGCAAACAUAUUAAAAUAGCUUAAUGAGAUUUUAGUAAAAACAUUGUUGAGCAAGAAAUUUCGGCCAAUUAAAUUCUGCCACAUCAUCCCAACAAAUAUUUGUCAAAUAAGUAGAUUAGCCAAGUCUAAGCUCAACAAGUAGAUGGGCCUAAGCCCAAUAAAGCAAAUGGGCCCAAGCUCAAGUUUAAGCUUAAGUCCAAGCCCAACAGCCCCACAAGCAAAUGAGUCCAAGCCCACCUAAAGCCCACAAAUUUUCUCUAUAAAUAGAAACCUUUGUCAUUCAUUUGAGAGGUCUUUUUUGUUGAAGGAAGAAUUGAAGCUCUGAAGUACUGAAAUUGUGAAGAAUUGAAGAUUCAAACUUCUAUAAAAAAUUGAAGAUUCAAACUUCUAUAAAAAAUUGAAGAUUCAAACUUCUAUAAAGCUCUCAAGACGUGCAAGUUCUUAUCAACUUCGAGAUCAUCAUCUUCUGAAAGAUUGAAGACUUGGAAGAUCAAACUUUCCUUGAAUUCCAGAAGAUUGAAGCUUAAAUAGACUUGCAACUACAACAUCCUAAAGACCGAAGAUCAAUAAAUUCUAAAUUUUUAACUUGUAUUCGAGAGAAAGCAUCAAAUGAGUAAAUACUAGAGAUUGUAUUUACAAUAUUCAUCAAUAUACAAAUUUCAAUUCCCCGAAAUACAUUUUUUCGAAAUCUCGUGUGAACAAACAUAUUGGAGAUCGACCUCAAACUUUCAAAUAAUCGAUUUUCUCAUCUCAAGAAUUCUAGAAAAACGAACUCUCUAAUUUUUUAGAUUCCAUCGUUGAGUGUUUUUUAAAAGAAAACUAAUUAAAAAUAUUAAAAUAUUAAACAGCGAAAAUGUAAAAUAAACAAUAAUCUAUAAAUAAAAUAAAAUAUAAUGCAAAACUAUUAGAAAAAGAAAGAAGAAAGUAAGAAUAAAUAAUGAUUAAAAAAAUUGAUAAACAAGGUAUGAAAUAACGUACAUCAACAAAUAAAUUUAUUAUAUAAAAAAGAAAAUGUAGAAAUAAGGUAAUAAAGAAAUAAUUAUAAGAGUAGAAAAAUGGAGAAAUAAGAAUUAGAAAAAUAAACAAAUAUGGAGAGAAAAAAUAAACGUAUAUAAAAAUAAGAAAAUAUUAAAAAAACAAUAAUCAACUUUAUGAAAAGAGAAUAAAAGAACUAGAUAUAAAAUGCUAAUUAAAAAGAAAUAAAUAUAAUAUAGAAAGAAGAAGAAGAUAUACAACAAAAUGUAUAAUAAAAAAAAUUAUAUAUAAAAGAGAAGUUCAAAAGAUAAUAUAAAAAAAAAUAGGAAAAUUAGAAAAACAAUAACUAAAAAAUACAAAAGAAAAAAUUAAAAAAAAAGAAUUAAAACAAUGAACCCUCUUGCUGUUUAAAGCGUAGAUUAUUGAGAAUUAAAUCAUACCAUACACAUCUAAUGAUUAAGUUAGAGAUUUUACUGUAUGUUGGUUUUUCGACACUUUUAGAAAAAUAUGAUAUUUAGGGGUUUGUUACGCGAGAAAACAAAAUAGAUGUUGUAGAUUUUUGUUUCUUAAAGAAGAGAUUAAGGGUAAGAGAAGUAGUGACUAUGAAAGUUAGAGGUUUUGAUGAAGAAGAGAGAACGGUACCGAUAUCUCUAGGGUUUUUUUUGUGUGACCUUCUCCAUUGGUGGUGUUUUUUUCAUGAAAGAAGAAUAAGAGAAUAUUUAUAUAUAGCAAAAAAUAAAAAAGCUUAUUCAAAAAGGCUAAAUAUUUCAAAAUUAUUUCUCCACGUAACUUAAUUAUGCUAAUUAAUUGAUUUAGUUAUUCUAAUGACCAAGCAACCACAUAACACAUAACUUUUAAAAUGAGAGGAUCUAAAUUUCUAUUAUAUCACACUGCAUUUGCUAAUACUUUUAAGUCUUACAGAGUGGCAUAGUAAUAAGAUAGAUAUUUUUAUUUAUUUCAAGCUUUAUCAAAGACAAGUGAUAAUAAAGCUACACACUCAAAAGUCAAAAGAAAAGUUAAGAAACACACAAGAUGACAUAGUGGACGAUGGAUACAGUGGUAAGCGGUAUGGUGAUGGUGAAUUAUUUAGAAUGAAGAGGGUAAGGCUUGUUUUGAUAAUCAAACUUAAAGGUAUAGACUCCAGUGUAAAGACCAUCAUCACACUCUAUCUCAACUCUUCUUCCGUUUCGGAGAAGAUCUCGUUGCGUGUACGAAAACGGAAUAUCACAUUUGGCCUUUGUUGCAAGAAGAGUAACUUUCAUCCUUGUGUUUGGUGGUACAGGAACAGUAUAUGUUGCCGUUACUUCUCUACUUUCUGAAAUAGUUUCUCCCCAUGUGUAAUUCGCUUCAAAAUUGUAGCUGACUUUAAUCUCAGCAUCUAAAAUUUCAGGAAUCCCAGCUUUAAUGGAAGUCUCUAUACCCACACCUACGGUGAGUGAAGAUUCCCAAGUUUUGGAUUUUUCUUCUAGGUACUUCAAACUUACAGCCAUAACCGUCUCCUUCGAGCUCGAGUUAACAGCCUCCUCCGUUGCCAUUGUUAGUACCUGUUCAUCGUAUAUCUUUGCAUCCAUAGUCCGGUACCGAAUAUUGUAGAUUUCCCUUGAAAUAAUUGGCUCAACGAUCUCCAAUUCUGCCUCUUUAGUGAUAGUUUCACUACUAGCGUUCAGAAAAUCCACCUUACCAUCACCAGUGUAUCUCGUAACGAACCUGCCAUUGGCAACGUUUCGAAGCGCGACUUUGUUUUUAGCAAUCUUGACUGGCCAGAACAAGGUGUUCUUAUCGUUCUUCGUCUGGUCGUUUGAGUCAGCCAGGAUCCAGUUUGGGUCACGUCUCCAAAACUUCUUCGUAGAUUCGUUCUUGAUUUUAACAGUUCCAUCGCCGACGUUGAAAAUUUCAUGGCUCACCUGAGGGUUUCCAAUGUCGUUGGCAUUGAACUGCAGAUAUGGGGAAUUACGAUACGUAUAGGCAGCGAGAAACUUGUCAUUGUUCUUAAAGGAGAGGUAUUUGGGGAGUCGAAUGAUGUUUUCAAAGUCGACUAGCACAACUAAUUUGUCGUCGUGUCGUUUUUCAUCUCGUCUAUAUCUAGUUGUGAGAACAUCGGGAUGAAUUCUGCUACUGGUACAUCGACGUGCAUAG